AGUGAACGCUGGCGGUAGGCCUAACACAUGCAAGUCGAACGGCAGCACAGUAAGAGCUUGCUCUUACGGGUGGCGAGUGGCGGACGGGUGAGGAAUACAUCGGAAUCUACUUUUUCGUGGGGGAUCACGUAGGGAAACUUACGCUAAUACAGCAUACGACCUACGGGUGAAAGCAGGGGAUCUUCGGACCUUGCGCGAUUGAAUGAGCCGAUGUCGGAUUAGCUAGUUGGCGGGGUAAAGGCCCACCAAGGCGACGAUCCGUAGCUGGUCUGAGAGGAUGAUCAGCCACACUGGAACGGAGACACGGUCCAGACUCCUACGGGAGGCAGCAGUGGGGAAUAUUGGACAAUGGGCGCAAGCCUGAUCCAGCCAUACCGCGUGGGUGAAGAAGGCCUUCGGGUUGUAAAGCCCUUUUGUUGGGAAAGAAAAGCAGCAGGUUAAUACCCCGCUGUUCUGACGGUACCCAAAGAAUAAGCACCGGCUAACUUCGUG
rnacentral:rRNA from 1 species